CCUAAAUCUUUCAGCCACAUUUACUAAUACUAAGUAAAGAUUUAUUAGUAUUAGUAAAUUCAGCCCUUACUCGCUAUACCGCAAGUAGGGGCAUGUCUAGUAAACAGCUGCUCACUGUAAAAAAAAUAUAUUGCCCCCCCCCACAGCCCCCACCCCUGCACGGUGGGUGGGGGUCCUACUGUCCUCACCCCCUCCUGGGCGGUGGAUGGGGGCCCUAAAACAAAUCCCCCCCUCCUUCAAAGGUGACUAGUAAAAUAACUAACCUCUAAAAUCUUAAUUUUUCAGUCCCAAAAAAGGCCAAAUAAAAAACCAUCAUACCCGUCAAACUUAAAAUAAAAUAAAAAAUCCAAGUGCAAAAAUAA